rnacentral:rRNA from 1 species
GGUGAGUAAUGUCUGGGAAACUGCCUGAUGGAGGGGGAUAACUACUGGAAACGGUAGCUAAUACCGCAUAACGUCGCAAGACCAAAGAGGGGGACCUUCGGGCCUCUUGCCAUCGGAUGUGCCCAGAUGGGAUUAGCUAGUAGGUGGGGUAACGGCUCACCUAGGCGACGAUCCCUAGCUGGUCUGAGAGGAUGACCAGCCACACUGGAACUGAGACACGGUCCAGACUCCUACGGGAGGCAGCAGUGGGGAAUAUUGCACAAUGGGCGCAAGCCUGAUGCAGCCAUGCCGCGUGUAUGAAGAAGGCCUUCGGGUUGUAAAGUACUUUCAGCGGGGAGGAAGGGAGUAAAGUUAAUACCUUUGCUCAUUGACGUUACCCGCAGAAGAAGCACCGGCUAACUCCGUGCCAGCAGCCGCGGUAAUACGGAGGGUGCAAGCGUUAAUCGGAAUUACUGGGCGUAAAGCGCACGCAGGCGGUUUGUUAAGUCAGAUGUGAAAUCCCCGGGCUCAACCUGGGAACUGCAUC